CCCGUAGGGGGCAAGCGUUGUCCGGAUUUAUUGGGCGUAAAGAGCUCGUAGGCGGUUUGUCGCGUCUGCUGUGAAAACUCAGGGCUUAACUCUGAGCUUGCAGUGGGUACGGGCAGACUAGAGUGCGGUAGGGGAGACUGGAAUUCCUGGUGUAGCGGUGAAAUGCGCAGAUAUCAGGAGGAACACCGGUGGCGAAGGCGGGUCUCUGGGCCGUAACUGACGCUGAGGAGCGAAAGCAUGGGGAGCGAACAGG
rnacentral:rRNA from 1 species